UUACUUAAUUGCAUUCUAUUAACUUUUUGAAUUGUCGAAUCUUGAUCAUUAUUUCUGGGUCCUUCCCAAUUAGUGUGACCAUGCACUAUUUUCUCUCUCUUGCUGUUGAUUAUGUUUUGUAGUAUUCUUCAGUACACAUUGUAGUUUGCACAAAUUAUCAUAAAUCAUCUGUCUCCAAUGAUGCCCUGUGAAAACUGCAGCUUCCCUUUCCUUUGCCCACUUCUAUGUUUGAUCACGGAAACAGGGCACAGUGAUAAUCACUAAUGGCAGAAAAACUGUGUUCAUAAAGUCUAUGGUGUCAGGAUGCCCAUUCGGGAACAGUGGACAUAUUGUCCAUCAGCUGUUUGUCAUGAACAAAUUGACCUUCCCUGAUUCACUGAUUUCUCUACAUUUAAAAAUGACAAGGGAUCUGAUUUAAAUUAAGUCACUCAUUUCUGAUUGGAGAUAAUUUUGUUCUCUCAAAGAAACAAGAUUCUUUGGAACUCUCUCUUUCUUAAAACAGUGGAAGUAGAGAUUUUCUAUCUAUUAAAGCAGAGGGAGAUAGAUUCAGGACAAGAUGUGAGUGUUGAAAAAUUACAAUGGGUAGAUGGGAGUGAUUCUCGAAUGAAUCACAGAUAUAACAGACAUGACCUUAUUGGCGCAGUGGUAGAGUUGCUGCCUUACAGCGAAUGCAGUGCUACAGACCUGGGGUCGAUCCCGACUAUGGGUGCUAUUUGUACGGAGUUUGUACGUUCACCCCGUGACCAUCGUGGGCUUUCUCCGCGACCUUCGGUUUCCUCCCACACUCCAAAGAUGUAAAGUUUUGUUGGUUAAUUGGCUUGGAAAAUGUAAAAAAUGUCCCUAGUGGGUAUUAAUGUGCAGGGAUUGCUGGUCAGCGUAGAUCCGGUGGGCCACAGGGCCUGUUUCCGCGCUGUAUCUCUAAACUAAACUAAACUAAAGAGGUAUUAAAAAUGCAUUAAAGGCUGGUGAGUGUGUGGAGCUUGCAGCCAAAGGAAGUGGUACAGGAGGGUAUAAUUACAACAUAGAAAUCAAGUCGAGAUUGUUUAAUUGUAAUAUUCACGAGAACUGGACACUGAAAUUGUUACUUCCUAAGGGUUUAUAGGUACAUUAAGCACAACAAUACAACAAACAAAUGUACAAUAAAUAAUAAUGUUUAAUAAUAUAAUAAAUUAACUGUUAUAUUAGGUAAUUAGAUCAUAAUAGUUGGAAUUGAAGUAUGGCUUAAAAGACAUUUGUGCAGGUGGGUGCAUGGGAAAGUUUCAAAUUAUUAUGGGCCAAACGCAGGUAAAUGGGACAUUCAAUUAGGUAAUUUGGUUAGCUUGGAUGAGUUUCCAUGCUGUAUAACACCAUGACUGGUGGAUUGGAAUUGAGAGGCAGUUCCUGCUCCUAGUGUGUGUAUGUCAACAUGGUGGCUGUUGGUGUUGUUCCAAAUCUCAGAAGAAUCUUUGAAUAUUGUGCAACUUAAAGAGUCUGGAAAGAGAAUUUGGAGAUCUGAUGUUAAGCUACACACGGGUCCUUAAGGAGCCAUCACUAUAUCUGGGAAAUGUCUGGAAAUUACAAGUCCGGCGGUUCCCUGAAAGCACCGAGGGCCAAAAGCUACCAAUGACAAACACCAUCAAGGAAAUGUGAUUCACAUUUUUUGUAUCCAUUCAACCCAGUUGAAAUAAAUUGUGUUUGUUUGCAUGAAUGAUAGAACUAGAACCACUGCCAACCAGCUCCAAAAACGCAGACAAUGCUGUUUGCUCAGAUUUGGUUCAGAAUAUCAUGAUCCUUGAUGCAGUCGGCAAAAUAAUAUUCACAUAUUUCAAACUUAUUUCCCAAGUGAAAUGCAUGAACCAGCUUCAUACAUAAAGAUAGUCAUCAGUUACAUCACCUUCAGGUGGACACAACCUGAUUUGUUUUUUUCUUUGCCUCCAGGUCAGGCAAUUGUGACUUCCGCAGGUAAAUCAGGCCUCUGUAACUUUACUCUGUGUACUGAGGAUUGUGAAGUUCUGAUGUACACAGGAAGAUGUGAAACUACAACCAGACCACCAGCAGAAACCACGACAUCAGCUACAACAGUGACAGUAACACCAACGUCAAAAGGAACUACAAUCUGUUCAUGUGAUGUUGACGGACAUAUAAUGUCACCAGGUAAGUGUGUCAGUAAUCAAAGUGCUCUGCUGUUCACAUUUCAAAGUAAGAGGUCGACCUCAGUCUUUAGCUAUGUGCAGAUGAUUGCAAGAAAUGCUUUAGAUUAUGAAGCUGAUGCAUUAUACUAUACGUUAACAAAAAUGAUCGCAACUUAUUGCUUUCAAUGAAUUUCCGUUUGAGUUAAUGUGGUCAAAGUUUUUCAUUGCUCCAAUGCGACCUUCUUCCUUGCAACCAUAGAGCUACAGGAUGUAUUUGGUUCAAAUGCUCCUUAAAUGCAACAUCAUAUUAUGAUACAGCUCAACAUCCCUACAGUGAGAUUAGCAGCAGCAUUGAUCAGUAGAAGUUUGUACACAAAUCAGAACCCCCACAUCAUUACUAGAAAUUCUGUGGUCCACCAGAUCCCAUGGCUGUGUUAUGGACCUGAUCAUGCCCCGCUGUAAAUGAUAUUUCUUCACAAAAAUACACGACGGAACUAAGCAACCUUACUGCAAUUCCCAUUAACUCUUCUGCUGGAUUCUGUGUUGAGUUUUUCCAUUCUAUCGGCAUUGCCAUUUUGCAAGGCCUGCCAACCACAAGCUACAAUAUGAAAACACACACUGAUAUUUUCUCAGGGGAGGGACAGAAUGUUUUGAUUCUUGACACAAACUCAUUGAAAUUAUAUUAGAGCCUCCUCAAAAAAUCUGCACAAUCGAAAUACUCAUAUUCAACAUCAUACAUAAAGGUAUUUAUCAGUUACCUCACCUACAGGUGGACACAACCUUGAUUUUUAUCUUCUGCCUCCAGGUCAGGCAACUGUGACUUCUGCAGGUAAAUCAGGCCUCUGUAACUUUACUCUGUGUACUGAGGAUUGUGAAAUUCUGAAGUACACAGGAAGAUGUGAAACUACAACCAGACCAACAGAAACCACAACAUCAGCUACAACAGUGACAGUAACACCAACGUCAAAAGGAACUACAAUCUGUUCAUGUGACGUUAACGGACAUAUAAUGUCACCAGGUAAGUGUGUCAGUAAUCAAAGUGCUCUUCUGUUCACAUUUCAAAGAAAGAGCUUUACAGCUGUCUCUUGGGUAGAUAAAAAUGCUGGUGAAACUCAGCGGGUGAGGCAGCAUCGGUGGAACCUUCAUCUGUCUCUUGCUAAGUGCAGAUGCUAGCAAGAAAUGCAUCCAAUUAUGAAGUUGAUGAACAGUUCUAAACAUGUCAACAUAAAUUAUAGAAUCUUUUUGCUUUUUUAGUUUUUUCCAUUUGAGUUAAUGUGGAUGAAGCUCUUAAUAGUUUAAAAUCACCGGAGGCUUCUUCCUUGCAACCACUAAGCAACAGGACAUAUUUGACUGAAAUGCUCCUUAAAUGCAACAUCAUGUUACGAUAAAGUUCAACACCCCUACAUUGUGCUUGACAGCAGCAUUGAUCAGAGAGGUUUGCUCACAAUGUGGACCUACACUUUUAUACUGUAAAUGUUGUGGUCCGCCCAUGGUUUCUGUUAUGGGCCAGAUCAUACCUCCCGUGAAAAAGGUUAUUUCAGCCCAAAAAUGAACUACGCAACUGAGCAACCUUACUGCAAUUGCCGUUCACUCUUCUGCUGAUUUCUGUAAUAUAUUCUCUCCACAUUUCCCUUAUACAAGGCCUGCCAGCCACAAGCUACGAUAUGAAAUCACGCAGUGUGUUUGAUCAAAGGAGGUACAUCAUUUCUUGAUUCUAGAUGCAAACACUUUGAAAUUACAACCUGAUUUUCUUUUCUUUGCCUCCAGGUCAGGCAACUGUGACAUCUACAGAUAAAUCAGGCCUCUGUAACUUUGUUCUGUGUACUGAAGAUUGUAAAGUUCUGAAGUACACAGGAAGGUGUGAAAGUACAACCAGACCAACAGAAACUACAACAUCAGCUACAACAGUGACAGUAACACCAACGUCAAGAGCAACUACCACAUGUACCUGUGAGAAUGACGGGCGAAAAAUGCUCCCUGGUCAGGCAACUGUGACUUCUGCAGGUAAAUCAGGCCUCUGUAACUUUACUCUGUGUACUGAGGAUUGUGAAAUUCUGAAGUACACAGGAAGAUGUGAAACUACAACCAGACCACCAGCAGAAACCACAACAUCAGCUACAACAGUGACAGUAACACCAACGUCAAAAGGAACUACAAUCUGUUCAUGUGAUGUUGACGGACAUAUAAUGUCACCAGGUCAGGCAACUGUGACGUCCACAGAUAAAUCAGGCCUCUGUAACUUUGUUCUGUGUACUGAAGAUUGUAAAGUUCUGAAGUACACAGGAAGAUGUGAAAGUACAACCAGACCAACAGAAACUACAACAUCAGCUACAACAGUGACAGUAACACCAACGUCAAGAGCAACUACCACAUGUACCUGUGAGAAUGACGGGCGAAAAAUGCUCCCUGGUCAGGCAACUGUGACUUCUACAGGUAAAUCAGGCCUCUGUAACUUUACUCUGUGUACUGAGGAUUGUGAAAUUCUGAAGUACACAGGAAGAUGUGAAACUACAACCAGACCAACAGAAACCACAACAUCAGCUACAACAGUGACAGUAACACCAACGUCAAAAGGAACUACAAUCUGUUCAUGUGAUGUUGAUGGACAUAUAAUGUCACCAGGUAAGUGUGUCAGUAAUCAAAGUGCUCUUCUGUUCACAUUUCAAAGAAAGAGCUUUACAGCUGUCUCUUGGGUAGAUAAAAAUGCUGGUGAAACUCAGCGGGUGAGGCAGCAUCGGUGGAACCUUCAUCUGUCUCUUGCUAAGUGCAGAUGCUAGCAAGAAAUGCAUCCAAUUAUGAAGUUGAUGCACAGUUCUAAACAUGUCAACAUAAAUUAUAGAAUCUUUUUGCUUUUUUAGUUUUUUCCAUUUGAGUUAAUGUGGAUGAAGCUCUUAAUAGUUAAAAAUCACCGGAGGCUUCUUCCUUGCAACCACUGAGCAACAGGAUAUAUUUGACUGAAAUGCUCCUUAAAUGCAACAUCAUGUUACGAUAAAGUUCAACACCCCUACAUUGUGCUUGACAGCAGCAUUGAUCAGAGAGGUUUGCUCACAAUGUGGACCUACACUUUUAUACUGUAAAUGUUGUGGUCCGCCCAUGGUUUCUGUUAUGGGCCAGAUCAUACCUCCCGUGAAAAAAGUUAUUUCAGCCCAAAAAUGAACUACGCAACUGAGCAACCUUACUGCAAUUGCCGUUCACUCUUCUGCUGAUUUCUGUAAUAUAUUCUCUCCACAUUUCCCUUAUACAAGGCCUGCCAGCCACAAGCUACGAUAUGAAAUCACGCAGUGUGUUUGAUCAAAGGAGGUACAUCAUUUCUUGAUUCUAGAUGCAAACACUUUGAAAUUACAACCUGAUUUUCUUUUCUUUGCCUCCAGGUCAGGCAACUGUGACAUCUACAGAUAAAUCAGGCCUCUGUAACUUUGUUCUGUGUACUGAAGAUUGUAAAGUUCUGAAGUACACAGGAAGGUGUGAAAGUACAACCAGACCAACAGAAACUACAACAUCAGCUACAACAGUGACAGUAACACCAACGUCAAGAGCAACUACCACAUGUACCUGUGAGAAUGACGGGCGAAAAAUGCUCCCUGGUAAGUGUGUCAAUUAUCACAGAGCUCUUCCAUUCACAUUGAAAAGACAAAGAAAUCCAUAAUCCCAAAGCUGAAAAUGGCAGCAGCAUUGAUUGACAAUGGAUGGCAAAUAAUCACACACUUGCUUUUCAUUGGGACAACGUAUGUCCACCCAUUUGCAAGGGUAAUUGUACACGCCUGAUCACGCACCUUCAGGAGACAUUGCCAUCUCCUCGCAAUAAUGAAUCAUGCAACUGACUAUCCGUUCUGCAGUUGCCAAGUAAUCGUCUGCUGAUUCCUGUAUUGUGCUUUUACAUUCACUCUACAAUUCCCUUUUACACAGCCUGUCAGCAGCAACCAGCUUUACCAAAAUGUUAUGUUUCACAACCAGACCCUGGUGCUUGCACAGAUGUGGUUCAGAACGUCCCGAUCCUUGAUGCAUUCUGCAAAAUAAUAUUCUCAUAUUUCAAACUUAUUUCCCAAGUGAAAGACAUGAUCCAACUUCAACAUCAUACAUAAAGAUAGUCAUCAGUUUCAUCACCUUCAGGUGGACAAACCCUGAUUUGUUUUUCUUUACCUCCAGGUCAGGCAACUGUGACUUCUGCAGGUAAAUCAGGCCUCUGUAACUUUACUCUGUGUACUGAGGAUUGUGAAAUUCUGAAGUACACAGGAAGAUGUGAAACUACAACCAGACCACCAGCAGAAACCACAACAUCAGCUACAACAGUGACAGUAACACCAACGUCAAAAGGAACUACAAUCUGUUCAUGUGAUGUUGACGGACAUAUAAUGUCACCAGGUCAGGCAACUGUGACGUCCACAGAUAAAUCAGGCCUCUGUAACUUUGUUCUGUGUACUGAAGAUUGUAAAGUUCUGAAGUACACAGGAAGAUGUGAAAGUACAACCAGACCAACAGAAACUACAACAUCAGCUACAACAGUGACAGUAACACCAACGUCAAGAGCAACUACCACAUGUACCUGUGAGAAUGACGGGCGAAAAAUGCUCCCUGGUAAGUGUGUCAAUUAUCACAGAGCUCUUCCAUUAACAUUGAAAAGACAAAGAAAUCCAUAAUCCCAAAGCUGAAAAUGGCAGCAGCAUUGAUUGACAAUGGAUGGCAAAUAAUCACACACUUGCUUUUCAUUGGGACAACGUAUGUCCACCCAUUUGCAAGGUUAAUUAUACACGCCUGAUCACGCACCUUCAGGAGACAUUGCCAUCUCCUCGCAAUAAUGAAUCAUGCAACUGAGUAUCCGUUCUGAUUUGUUUUUCUUUACCUCCAGGUCAGGCAACUGUGACUUCUACAGGUAAAUCAGGCCUCUGUAACUUUACUCUGUGUACUGAGGAUUGUGAAAUUCUGAAGUACACAGGAAGAUGUGAAACUACAACCAGACCAACAGAAACCACAACAUCAGCUACAACAGUGACAGUAACACCAACGUCAAAAGGAACUACAAUCUGUUCAUGUGAUGUUAACGGACAUAUAAUGUCACCAGGUAAGUGUGUCAGUAAUCAAAGUGCUCUUCUGUUCACAUAUCCAAUAAAGAGCUUUACAGCUGUCUCUUGCGUAGACAAAAAUUCUGGUGAAACUCAGCGGGUGAGGCAGCAUCGGUGGAACC